GUCAAGAUGGUCGAGUUGGUCUAAGGCGCCAGUUUCAGGUACUGGUCCGAAAGGGCAUGGGUUCUAAUCCCAUUCUUGACA
rfam:Picea glauca, whole genome shotgun sequence.